rnacentral:miRNA from 1 species
CAUUUUACAUGGAAACACCCCAAACAA